rnacentral:rRNA from 1 species
GUGAGCGAAUCCCAGAAAGUACGUCGUAGUCCGGAUUGGAGUCUGCAACUCGACUCCAUGAAGUCGGAAUCGCUAGUAAUCGUGAAUCAGAAUGUCACGGUGAAUACGUUCCCGGGCCUUGUACACACCGCCCGUCACACCAUGGGAGUGGGCUGCACCAGAAGUAGAUAGCUUAACCUUCGGGAGGGCGUUUACCACGGUGUGGUUCAUGACUGGGGUGAAGUCGUAACAAGGUAGCCCUAGGGGAACCUGGGGCUGGAUCACCUCCUUACCUAAAGA